rnacentral:tRNA from 1 species
AUCUGACUGGCUCAGUUGAUAGAGCAUGAGACUCUUGAUCUCAGGGUUGUGAGUUCAAGCCCCACAUUGGAUG